UCCAAUGUGGUGUAGUGGCUAACAUUGCUGUCUUUCAUGUGGGAAUACCUGCGUUUGCACAGCAGCCCGGGGUUCGAUUCCCCGCAUUGGAA